AACGAACGCUGGCGGCAGGCUUAACACAUGCAAGUCGAACGAUGUAGCAAUACAUAGUGGCGCACGGGUGAGUAACGCGUGGGAAUAUACCUUAUAGUGGGGAAUAACUUUGGGAAACUAAAGCUAAUACCGCAUACGCCCGAGAGGGGAAAGAUUUAUCGCUAUAAGAUUAGCCCGCGUGAGAUUAGGUAGUUGGUGGGGUAAUGGCCUACCAAGCCUACGAUCUCUAGCUGGUCUGAGAGGAUGAUCAGCCACACUGGAACUGAGACACGGUCCAGACUCCUACGGGAGGCAGCAGUGGGGAAUAUUGGGCAAUGGAGGAAACUCUGACCCAGCCAUGCCGCGUGAAUGAUGAAGGCCUUAGGGUUGUAAAGUUCUUUCGCCGAUGAGGAUAAUGACGGUAGUCGGAGAAGAAGCCCCGGCUAACUUCGUGCCAGCCGCCGCAGUAA
rnacentral:rRNA from 1 species